GGUAGAUGUUUAUACAAAGAACAACUUCCGACUAUCACUAUCAAAAUAAAAGUUUUGCACUUUGACCACAGGGGGGCAGUGUGUACUCACGGUUAUACUUUUAUCAACUCUGUUAAGAAUAACCUCCUCAAGCUAGAAACAAGAACAAGACUAUCGAGGAAGAGGAAUACAUCAUUUCAUACUUUUACCUCAAAUUAAUGGAGGUUGAGGCAUUUUAUCUCCCUCUUGAUCAACAAAGUUUCUGCCGCUAAUUCUAAACAUCUAUGCAAAGCUCACAGGAAAGUUUGUGUCCUCCUGAACAAUUCACCAAAACUAGGAAGCCGUUGUUCAUGCUGAUUAAUUAACUUUACCGAAUUAUAACAAAAGACUUUAAUCUUUUUCUUCUAUCAAACAGUGAAAGUUUGUAAAGGAACAUUAUCACAUCGCCUUACAGCUCCCUCUUGUUAACGCUAGCUGCACUUUAUGAAGCUUUUAGUUAAACUCUGCUGGGCUCGUCAUCAACCGGAACCGGAACACGUAACAUUUUUCAUCACUGGGCGCCAUCUAGUGGACAACCCGAAAGCUACAACAACAUAAGGGGGGGAAACAUGAUGGGAGUAUGACGGCUGCCACACGGCUGAUAUCAAGGUUGACGCUGGUCACUGGAGGAGGCAGUGGGAUCGGACGGGCGGUAUGUCAGC